GCCUCCAUCAAAGUCCAAAGCCGAUUUUUCUGCAUGUUAUAUAUCAAUCAUGCUAGAAGCAUUGUCAUGAAAUAAAACAACCGCCAAAACCGCAUUUUCCCUCCUUCCCACUACCAUGCUCGAAGACGAGAUCUACCGCACAUCAUCGCAGUAUCGCCUCUGGUCCUUCACCGAAGAAUCCCUCCGCUUAAUACGGGCCAACUCCAAUACUGUUGCCAGCGAACGUGUUAAAGAUGCAAUACGGCGUGCUAAAAACGAUGCGCGAUCGCAGCAGCCCGCAACCACAGGUGCUAGAUCCAGUAGCGGUACCCCAAACACGACCGGCGAUGCUGAUGAUGGAAAAACUGCAGAGGCGACGAUAGGCAAUGGUGAGCAGACAACAGAGAAGGAGAAGGAUAAGGAGAUUGAGUGCUUGACGAUGGAGGAGGAGCUGGAGUUGGUGAGGUAUUAUUGCGAGAAGACGAUGGAGUUGGGCGAUGAGUACAAGCCGCCGUUGCCGACGGUUGUUAGGGCUACUGCGAUCCAAUACCUCCGCCGCUUCUACCUUACCAACUCCCCCAUGACCUAUCAUCCCAAGUCCAUCAUGCCCUGCGCUCUCUUCCUCGCUACAAAGACAGAAAACUACUACAUGUCUCUGCGCUCAUUUGCAGAACAUAUCCCAAACUCUACGCCAGAGGAUAUCAUCGCGCCCGAAUUUCUCCUUACACAGGGACUUCGCUUUACCUUUGACGUCCGCCACCCGU
rnacentral:sRNA from 1 species